rnacentral:lncRNA from 1 species
GCCUGCAUUAUUAAUUUUGGGUAUCCAUGUGAAGACAACCAUAAUACGUCAUCACCGUGAAUUAAAAUACUGAAUUCAGUUUAUAAGGAAGCUGCUUAUGAGUAGGAAAUUUGAUGUCAAAUAUAAAACAAGAGCACUAAAUAAGGAAAAACUGAAAAGUACCAAAGAACUCCGGUGAAACUGAUAGUGGAUUGUAGGGCCAUGCCUGAUGAGAAGACGAGAUUAUGGACGUGAAAGUUUGGAGUUUGGUACCCUGGCAUGAUGAAAACUGGAUAAAAAACAACAGAAAUAUGGUCAGCGUCCAUAUACAUAUGUACCAGCAGAUGGGAUAAUUUAGAAUCUUACACCAAGUAAAAUGUUCUAUAGGAUAAAGUACCCAGCUCACCCUUUGUAAGAUAUGCAAGGCCACCAGCCACACCACCUCUAGCAGUCCAAGCUACUAUGAAGUGCAUGUUAUUUCCAGAGAAAAAGUAGUAGAAUACAAAUUCUUCCACCACUUAAGAUACAAUCAUACAUAGUUUAUAUAUUGUUCUUUACCUGAAGCACUGAAAAAAUG